AGCAGCCGCGGUAAUUCCAGCUCCAAUAGCGUAUAUUAAAGUUGUUGCAGUUAAAAAGCUCGUAGUUGAAUUUCGGGGUUAGUAGGUUGGUCAUGCCUCUGGUAUGUACUGGUCUCACUGAUUCCUCCUUCCUGAUGAACCGUAAUGCCAUUAAUUUGGUGUUGCGGGGAAACUGGACUGUUACUUUGAAAAAUUAGAGUGUUUAAAGCAGGCUAACGCUUGAAUACAUUAGCAUGGAAUAAUGAAAUAGGACGUUCGAUCCUAUUUUGUUGGUUUCUAGGAUUGACGUAAUGAUUAAUAGGGAUAGUUGGGGGCAUUAGUAUUCAAUUGUCAGAGGUGAAAUUCUUGGAUUUAUUGAAGACUAACUACUGCGUAAGCAUUUGCCAAGGAUGUUUUCAUUAAUCAAGAACGAAAGUUAGGGGAUCGAAGACGAUCAGAUACCGUCGUAGUCUUAACCAUAAACUAUGCCGACUAGGGAUCGGAUGAUGUUUAAUUUUUAAUGACUCAUUCGGCGCCUUAC
rnacentral:rRNA from 1 species